rnacentral:rRNA from 1 species
AGCGAACGCUGGCGGCAGGCCUAACACAUGCAAGUCGAACGAACCUUUCGGGGUUAGUGGCGGACGGGUGAGUAACACGUGGGAACGUGCCUUUAGGUUCGGAAUAACUCAGGGACACUUGUGCUAAUACCGAAUGUGCCCUUCGGGGGAAAUAUUAAUCGCCUUUAGAGCGGCCCGCGUCUGAUUAGCUAGUUGGGUGAGGUAAUGGCUCACCAAGGCGACGAUCAGUAGCUGGUCUGAGAGGAUGAUCAGACACAUUGGGACUGAGACACGGCCCAAACUCCUACGGGAAGCAGCAGUGGGGAAUCUUGCGCAAUGGGCGAAAGCCUGACGCAGCCAUGCCGCGUGAAUGAUGAAGGUCUUAGGAUUGUAAAAUUCUUUCACCGGGGACGAUAAUGACGGUACCCGGAGAAGAAGCCCCGGCUAACUUCGUG